ACUGCAUCCUAGUAGAACGCUAUUGAUUUUUUUUUUUCGAUUGGACGUUUGGUUACCGAGAUAUCUCUCGAAGAGUUGACCAAGUGUAUCAUAAUAAAUAUUUCGGCCGUUUGUCAAUCGAUUUGGGUUCUCUUGGCACCAAAUGAAAGCUACAGCAUCCUAGUAGAUCGCCCAUAAAUUUUAUUUCGAUUGGACAUUUGGUUACAGAGAUAUCUUUCAAAGAGUACUUAUGAUUUAUACAACUAAACCUUUUGAGAUUUUUGACCAAUUCUAUCAUAAUAAAUAUCUCAGCCGUCUGUCAACCAAUUUCGGUUCUCCUGGCGCCAAAUGAAAGCUACAACAUUCUAGUAGAACCGUAUACAAUUUCAUUAGAAUUGCACAUUUGGUUACCGAGAUAUCUUUCAAAGAGUACUUGGGAGUAAUACCGGUUAACUUUUUGAGAAAUUUUUGACCAAGGGCACCAUAAUAAAUAUCUCAGCCGUCUGUCAACCGAUUUGGGUUCUCUAAGCACCAAAUGAAAGCUACAAUAUCCUUGUGAAAGGCCCUGAAAUUUUAUUUCGAUUCGACAUUUGAUUACUGAUAUAUCUUACGAAGAGUAGUUCAGUUUUAUGAAAACAAACAAUAUGUUAAAUAAAAGCUUUGAAUUUAUAUAUUGUGGAAAAAAUGCAAGAGCCGGACAGCCAAAAUAACUAGCUGAUGCCAAAACUGGUUAACUUAGUAGAUAUAUCAUUUUUGUCCUUUCUACACCAUAACCAUGAAUACCAAGUACUUCGGAGCUAAUUUAAUCGACUGACUAAGAGAUAUUAGACAAAGUGUAUCUAGCUGAUUUUCUUAUCCAUUUGUUAAUCGAUUCAAGAUCUUUUGGCAGUUAACAAAAGAUAUUCCCGAAUAUGUAAGCUAUUUUUUAAACAUGCCAUACAAAAUCCUAGGAGGUGUCUGGCAUUUCUGGUAGUUUAGUCCAUGGUCCAUGAUGCUAUUUUGGAAACCAAUCCACUAGAUGCCAAAUCCACAAUAUUUUCUAGCACUUUUGGUCAAUUACACAAAAUAAAUAUGUUAAAUACAAAUAAUACAACAAUAAUUUUUAUAAGUGUAAGAAGGGUUCUGUUCACCAUAGGUGGAUUAAAUCGGGUUUUUUAAUAUCCAGAUACAAAUUUGGUAAAAACCUAAACCUAAAUACUUUUUAAGUAUUUUCUAACCUAAGCCGUUUAAACUUUUUGGAUCCGUCAUGUAUGGGGGUCAUGUAUGACCCCCUCGGCCCCUAAAGGGUUAAAUGAGUUAAUUAAUGGAGUGUAUCUGUGAAUGGAUCAUGAUGUGAUUGGCCAUCACGAGUGAUUUUAGUGGAGGAUUUUUGCGUCGAACUUUGAACGAAAUGGUAAUCUGCUUGCGAAAAACAGACAAACGUCGGGGCCCGUAGCGAUGGUGCUACACGUUCACUUCAUAAGUGGAUGGUCAUGGGUUCGACUCCAGCGCCGGCCCCUGCAAUUUUUCGUUAGAUGCUCUUUCCCCCCGAGAGCAGCUGACACCUGAUCCUCUUCUGAGCAUAUGCUCUUACGGACCCGGAAAACUUGAAUAUAGUCUAACGGCAACUCAUAAUCGACCCCCAAUCAGACUUGAAAAAUAACAAGAGCCAAACAUCAACAUCUUCGUGCUCUUCAUUCUACCAUGGACAGGGUAGAAAAGUGACAGCAGCACAAAAGUUCGAGAAAGAAGAAUGAGAAUAGAAUACAUUUAGGCGCUGUACAAAGUGUAGGUGCAGCUACCAAUUGGAAUCGCUCAAGCAGUGCCCUAAUGGACAAAAGUGCUGUAAAUUAGGUUGAGUGGGUGAAGAAUGGGCUGCAAAACGGUGAGUCGAUAAGGAGAGCGUCCAACAUAGCUCUGGUCCUCACAAGUUCCAACCUCAUGCUUCCACGGGUCAAGCGAUGACAAUGACCGCCAGCUAAGAGUUGUGUGCUUAGCUGGUAGUGCAGUCUGAGCACUGUUGUUCUUCUGACUUCAGCUAGAUUGAGAAGGUACGACCCGAGCGUCUGUUCACCAAGGAGGUACGGCUCAAACAGCGUCUGUUCUGGCAUCCAGCGGCUGAGUAAGAAACGCUGUACCACACGCCCAGCUAGAUCCAAGGUGGUAGCCCCAUCAGCGUGGUCGUCCCAGUGUUGGUUGGCGAGACAGGAGUGUUGACGUAGGCCCAACAAGCCACCCAUAACAAUCCCCACCCCAUUGUGAAUAGCAUAGCAUAAGAGAAAAUACGACUCGAUACAAUCGACAAAGACCCACGCGACGAAAUAAGGACUACGAUUGGAAACAUGGAACAUGGAAUUGCAAGUCACUACAUCCCCGCAACUUCGACAUCGUGGCGUUGCAGGAACUUUGUUGGACUAGACAGAAAGUGUGGAAAAGCGGGCAUCGAGCGGCUACCUUCUACCAAAGCUGUGGCACCACCAAUGAACUGAGAACAGGAUUUAUAGUGUUGGGCAAGAUGCGACAACGUGUGAUCGGGUGGCAGCCGAUCAACGCAAGGAUGUGCAUGUUAAGAGUUAAGGGCCGUUUCUUCAACUACAGCAUCAUCAACGUCCACUGCCCACACGAAAGGAGACCUGAUGACGAGAAAGAAGCGUUCUACGCGCAGUUAGAGCUAACAUACGAUGGUUGCUCGCCGCGUGACGUGAAAAUCGUUGUUGGCGAGGGGAGGGAGGAAAUGUACAGACCGGUAAUCGGGCGAAACAGCCUGCACGCCGUAUCGAAUGAUAACGGCCAGCGAUGCGUAAACUUUGCAGCCUCCCGUGGUAUGGUAGUCCGAUGCACCUUCUUCCCCCGCAAAGAUAUCCACAAAGCCACCUGGAGGUCACCCGACCAUCAAACAGAAAACCAAAUCGAACACGUUCUAAUCGACGGUGGAUUCUUCUCGGAUAUAACCAAUGUCCGCACAUACCGCAGUGCGAAUAUAGGAUUCGGAUCACUACUUAGUAGCUGUAUGCAUGCGAUCAAAACUUUCGACAGUAAGACAGUAAUUACCACGCUUUGAAAUCGAACGCCGCGGCUCAACAUCGAGCGUAACGUAGAAGUAGCUCAUGACUGCGCGCAGCAGUUAGCAGUGGCCCUACCAACGGAAGAGCAGCUUGGCUCAGCUACACUUGAAGAUGGAUGGAAGGACAUCCGAUUCGUCAUAGGUACAUCAUAGGUACAUCACUAGGCUUAGGCUUCACCGGCUGUUCGGGUCCACAUGAAGUUAACCAUCAAUGUUUACUUCUUUUCCCGAUCAGCCUAGAUAGCUGUGUAGUGUCGGUAGCGGUUGUCUCAAUUGGCUAAGAAUAACACUACGGACCACCUGUUCCGGGGGUAAAAGUCCACUAAACAGGGAACCCCAAUCCAAGGUGUCAGGCGACCCGUGCUGAUGGAUGAAUGGUUGAGGGGGUUUAAAAUAUGCUCGAUCUUUAACGGAGCCCGUAACGUUGGUAGAUCGCCUUUAUGUGUUGCGUUACGGUUCAAGAUCGGUAAAAGGUUAUUGCGGCCAUAAUAAUUACAAAAUGCACCAUAGGAAAAUCAAAAUGCACCAUAAAUAAUUAAGCAAUGUACCGACAAAAUGCACAGCUUUCUCCAUAAAUAAAUAGAAAUGUUCCAUAAUAAAUUAAAAAUGUAGCGGUAAACCAAAAGAUUUUCUAGUUAAAAAUGAAACAUUGUAUCAAUAAAAAAUUAAAUAUAACACCAUAAACAAAUAAGUUUGCUCCAUAAAAAAUAAUAAAAAUAUCCAUAAAUAAUGAACAUUUGCUCCAUAACUAUACCAUAUUUGCUCCAUAAAAAAAUAAAAUUGCAUCAUAAAUAUCAUCAAAUUGCACCAUUAACAAACUAUAAAUUUUACCUCAAAGAAUGCAAAAUCUACAAAAACUAAUCAAAUUCUGCAUCAUUAGCAGUAUUUCAAUGGCUAGUAGCACUGGAAAUAUGUAAGUAUAUAGUAAUAUGUGGAAUUUAAAAGGCUAUAUUCUGCACCUUCUGCUUAAAUUAAAAAAAAAAUCAAAUCUGACUAUACAUGUCAAUGGUUGCUCCUCCGUGAUUGAUCUGAGCUGGUACCAAUUGCACUGGGAUCCAAAUGAAUAAGGGCUGGGACACUCCAUUUAUUCUAAAAGUGCAAUUUAAGCAGCUCAUACAUUCUUGAUCAAUAACGGCGCCGGCCACGUCCUUAUAGUCAGUUAGGAAGGGAAAGGAAUGUUCUAACAUUCUAGUGUGCUGGUUGUUGCUACUAAAGACCGGGAUCACCUCUGCAUCCCCACAACCAGCACGGAUGCGAUCCAUGAAUAGGGGUUAUUUUUAUAGUGUUCGUGAUAGAUUGUGUGGUGAAUAAGGUGAAUAAGGUCAAGCGGCACAGCACGCUUUGGUUGCAUAACUUGUAGGCGUUAUAUAUAUGGAUUCUUUUAAUACAUGCGGCGUAGCCUGUUGAUGCGUUGUAACUGUGUCGAUUCGGUUCUAGGUAAUCCACAAAUCCAGGAAUUUGCCCGGUAUAAUGCAAACAGAGAUGUUAUCCCGUGAGCGUUAGCGAGUUCGAACAGCAAGCGGUUAUCCGGUAAAUUGCAUUCAUAGUGUUUCCAUCUUUUAAGUCGUUCUAUCAUAGAUGUGUGCUUCGGUACAUGGUUUCUGUUUAUUUUCUUCUUACUUUUCAUAUUAACAUUAUCCCAUCCACAUCCUAAAACUAUAUGUCGUUGGACACUGCAGCAAUGGUACAAUAAGAUUAAAUUUAUGUAGCUUUUACAUUCUUUGUGGUAAAAUUUACAAUUUGUUUAUGGUGCAAUUUGAUUAUAUAUGUGGUGCAAUUUCAAUUUUUUACGGAGCAAAUAUGGUAUAAUUAUGGAGCAAAUGUUCAUUAUUUAUGGAUAUUUUUAUUAUUUUUUAUGGAGCAAACUUAUUUGUUUAUGGUGUUUUAUUUAAUUUUUUAUUGAUACAAUGUUUCAUUUUUAACUAGAAAUUUUUUUGGUUUACCGCUACAUUUUUAAUUUAUUAUGGAACAUACAUAUUUAUUUAUGGAGAAUGCUGUGCAUUUUAUCGGUACAUUACUUAAUUAUUUAUAAUGCAUUUUUGUUUUUCUAUGGUGCACUUUCGUUAUCUAUGGGUGCAUUAAAUAGGCUGCCGUUCAAGAUCUACCAAACCGAACCCUAGUGACAUCCGGUUUGUCAAGUUGGGGUAAUGUGUUUUGGUAAUAAGGAUUCAUGGUACAAAGUCCUUGUUACUGGUGACAGUUUCAAAAAUUGCAUUUAUUCUGCCUUGCUGAUAGUUAAAGAAUCGGACUUUGCCUACCCGAGACUACACAAACAUGCUUUACGUAUCUGAUUGCGUACUAACCUAUCAAGGACUGUUAAGUUCUGGUAAUUCAAGGACUCACGUGCAUUCUUAUUGCAGAACACAUUCUCUAAUUUGACAGAGUUUUGCAACUAGCCUAAAGUCCCGGGUUUUUCUUUGUUGUCCUGGGACUAAACUAGAAGCAAGUCAUGGAUGGGGCUAGAGUUCCGAUGCAUGGAUAAAUAUCAGUACCACCGUUUUGUUUUUCUCAGAAUGCAAAUGGAUUGUGUUUGAUUAGGGGCGCUCUUUCACUGAGAUUUAAAUCUCUAUGAUAACGGAACCUUUUCAUCGCAAUCGAUUUCUUACACCUCUGGGAUAACAAAACAGGAACUGUACAGAAAUCGAUGCUUCAUUGCCUCUCAAUGACAAUGGAGUAGUACGACAUGCACUAAAUACUAAGGAUACGGGUAAUGCCACAAAAGAUCAAAAUACUGGUUGCAGUGGCUCACCCGAACAGAAAAAAAAAAGGCUUCGCGACUCCGAAUCACAGAAACGACUGGUACGACGGCGAAUGUGAACAGUUGGAAAACGAGAAGAAUGCAGCAUGGGCGAGAAUGCUGCUACACCGUACGAGAGCGAAUGAGGCACGUUACAGUCAGGCGUGGAACAGGCAGAGCUCAGUCUGAGCUGUACCGCGCUAAGGACACACGAAAGUUCUACGAGAAGAGAAGCUGAACCGCUCGCGCAGAGGCUUUGUGCCACAAGCCGACAUGUGCCGAGAUAAUCCUGGAGGAUUUUUCGGGGAAAUUUUUGGGGAAAUUUUCGAAAAAUUCUUGAAGAAAUUUCCAAGGAUCCCAAGGAGCUUCUGAAAGAGCGUACUCCUGGAGGAACUCCCGGGAAAUUAUGAGAAACUCCUUGAAAAAUUCCCAAUGAUCACAUGGAGAAACUCGCGCGGAUCUUCUGGAUAAAUAGAGCUACUUCGGCACUGCAGUCUUGGGGAAUUAAAACGAUAGUUUUAGAUUUUUCCCAACGUUUCGACUCGUAUUAGAGUCUUCUUCAGGGGAUACUGUAAUUAUGGGAAUCAUUAUUGUGUGGGUUACAUGUUUCGAUAGUUCACUUACAUUCUGAUUAAUCGUUUUUCGUUUGGGUUGACAUAGAACUGUCGGUGUCUAAACUAUUGAACAUUGGCUGUAAACAGGCAUAAACAAUGUUUAGUUUCACAUAUUAUUCUAAAAGUGGUUUGAAUUAGACCUACAUGUGGGAUAUUAAGUGAAACGUAGCGAGUUUUGUUAAUUUCACUUAAUGAAGCAACUAAAUUCUUCGCACUACACAUCUGGUGGAGGUAACGGUUGGUUUGAAGAUGGUGGAUCAUUAGUUGUUUGAUGGGUUUGAAAUGUUUCGCAAAAGGUUUGUAAUGAACAUUGGCUGUAAACAGGCAUAAACAAUAGUUUAGACACCGACAGUUCUAUGUCAACCCAAACGAAAAACGAUUAAUCAGAAUUAUCCCCUGAAGAAGACUCUAAUACGAGUCGAAACGUUGGGAAAAAUCUAAAA